rnacentral:rRNA from 1 species
AGUGAAUAGAUACCCCGGUAGUCCUGGCCGUAAACGAUGCUCACUAGGUGUGGGGCACAGAGCGUGUUCUGCGCUGAAGCAAACGCAAUAAGUGAGCCGCCUGGGGGAGUACGUCCGCAAGGACGAACUACAAAGGAAAUUGACGGGGGCCCGGCCACAAGCGGUGGAGCGUGUGGUUUAAUUCGACGUUAAGCGAAGAACCUUACCAGGUCUUGACAUAUCCGUGGUAGUGAACUGAAAGGGGAACGACGGAGGCGAAUGCCUUCGAGCGGAUACAGGUGGUGCAUGGUCGUCGUCAGCUCGUGCCGUGAGGUGUUGGGUUAAGUCCCGCAACGAGCGCAACCCCUGUGGUUAGUUGCCAACACGAAGGUGGGCACUCUAGCCAGACUGCCGCCGACGAGGCGGAGGAAGGAGGGGAUGAUGUCAGAUCAUCAUGCCCUUUAUGAUCUGGGCUACGCACGCGCUACAAUGAGGUGAGCAGUAAGGGGACAGGCUGCGAAGCCGAGGGAAUCCCGG